rnacentral:tRNA from 1 species
GCGGGGAUGGUGGAAUUGGUAGACACGUCAGCUUGAGGUGCUGAUGCCGAAAGGUGUGCCUGUUCAAGUCAGGUUCUCCGCAACA